GUUUGUGAAGAUGCGGACUACUUGCACCUGGAUAGAGCUUUAUUGUUCCCUGGGAUUGGCUUUGGGCAUUUCCUGUGUAGCAUAGGUGGAAGGCGAAGAAGGCCUCCUUUCUUGGGGGCCUGAGCCAUCAAUGAGAUACCAUUUUGGAAGAGUUAGAAUUCUAACCUUGUGUUAGGACCUACGAACCAAGGGUCAGUCUUAGGUAGACAAUUUCUAUGGGGGGUAGGCCUCGCAAAAGGUAAUAGAGGGGUGUAAAGGUUUCCUUGGGCUGGAUAGAGAUUGGCCCUUGAGUGCAAAGGCAGAAGGGAGCUUGACUGCAAGACCUACCCAUUGAGCAGGGACAAAGUCGGCCUUAGUGAUUUGAUGAGCUCGACAGAUAAAAGCUACUCUAGAGAUAACAGGCUGAUCUUCCCUAAGAGUUCACAUCCAUGGGAAGGUGUGGCACCUCGGCUCUUCGCUUGGGAUGAUUAGAUAUUGUUUCCACAUUUGAAUUGAUUUGAUGAUACCUUUUGUGAG
rnacentral:ncRNA from 1 species